UUGGAAGAGGUCGAAGUUAGGUAAAGCAUGUCUAAUGGACGGAUCCCAAAAAGUUUAUUCCAUGCGGAAAAGAAUAUUUGCCUUUGUGGUGGAAUAUGGGCCAACCUUGUUCAUGGGGUAAAGUAUAUAUACCAAAAUGAAAAUUGGAAAAAGCUUAGGGGCGUUGAAAUGAAGUUUUCUUUCGUAUGAUGUCUGUUGGGG
rnacentral:lncRNA from 1 species